rnacentral:tRNA from 1 species
GUCGACGUGUGCGGCGGUGCUGCCGAGCCCGAUGCUGGCGCGCAGCGCGGUCGGCGGCAGGUCGCGUCGGCCGCUCCGGUCGGCCGCCUCGGUG